ensembl:ncRNA lncRNA:CR44285 long non-coding RNA:CR44285
UUCAAAAUAAUCAGGUGGUGGUAAGAAGUCAGAUAAAAUAUACCAAUGAUCAAUAAAAUUAAAUGCUGUAGCCUUGCUUUUGUCAUAACCGAAAGCUUAUCGAUUUCACUUAUCGGAAUCUCAGUUCAAACAGCGAUAUGUCAACCAGUCAUCAAGAACCACAAAGCGUUUAUCUCGACCAGAUAAACACAUUACCCUUACCCCAUUUAUGAAGAAGGCAACCCCAAGUAAU